rnacentral:rRNA from 1 species
GAUGGGCCCGCGUCCGAUUAGCUAGUUGGUGAGGUAACGGCUCACCAAGGCGACGAUCGGUAGCCGGCUGAGAGGGUGAUCGGCCACAUUGGGACUGAGACACGGCCCAGACUCCUACGGGAGGCAGCAGUGGGGAAUUUUGGGCAAUGGGCGCAGGCCUGACCCAGCGACGCCGCGUGGAGGAUGAAGGCCUUCGGGUUGUAAACUCCUGUCAGGUGGGAAGAAGAACCUGCCGGCUAAUAUCCGGCGGGAGUUGACUGUACCACCAAAGGAAGCCCCGGCUAACUCCGUGCCAGCAGCCGCGGUAAUACGGAGGGGGCAAGCGUUAUUCGGAAUUACUGGGCGUAAAGCGCACGUAGGCGGCAAUCCAAGUCAAAGGUGAAAGCCCUCGGCUCAACCGAGGAACUGCCUUUGAAACUGUAUUGCUUGAGUCCGGGAGGGGGGAGCGGAAUUCCCAGUGUAGCGGUGAAAUGCGUAGAUACUGGGAGGAACACCGGUGGCGAAGGCGGCUCCCUGGACCGGUACUGACGCUGAGGUGCGAAAGCGUGGGUAGCAAACAGGAUUAGAUACCCUGGUAGUCCACGCCGUAAA